AUUGAACGCUGGCGGCAGGCCUAACACAUGCAAGUCGAGCGGAUGACGGGAGCUUGCUCCUUGAUUCAGCGGCGGACGGGUGAGUAAUGCCUAGGAAUCUGCCUGGUAGUGGGGGGCAACGUUUCGAAAGGAACGCUAAUACCGCAUACGUCCUACGGGAGAAAGCAGGGGACCUUCGGGCCUUGCGCUAUCAGAUGAGCCUAGGUCGGAUUAGCUAGUUGGUGGGGUAAUGGCUCACCAAGGCGACGAUCCGUAACUGGUCUGAGAGGAUGAUCAGUCACACUGGAACUGAGACACGGUCCAGACUCCUACGGGAGGCAGCAGUGGGGAAUAUUGGACAAUGGGCGAAAGCCUGAUCCAGCCAUGCCGCGUGUGUGAAGAAGGUCUUCGGAUUGUAAAGCACUUUAAGUUGGGAGGAAGGGCAGUAAGUUUAUACCUUGCUGUUUUGACGUUACCGACAGAAUAAGCACCGGCUAACUCUGUGCCAGCCGCCGCGGUAA
rnacentral:rRNA from 1 species